UACGUAGGGUGCGAGCGUUGUCCGGAAUUAUUGGGCGUAAAGAGCGUGUAGGCGGCCAUGUAGGUCCGUUGUGAAAACUCGAGGCUCAACCUCGAGACGCCGAUGGAAACCAUGUGGCUAGAGUCCGGAAGAGGAGAGUGGAAUUCCUGGUGUAGCGGUGAAAUGCGCAGAUAUCAGGAAGAACACCCGUGGCUAAGGCGGCUCUCUAGUACGGUACUGACGCUGAGACGCGAAAGCGUGGGGAGCGAACAGG
rnacentral:rRNA from 1 species